GCCCAGCUCCACUGUGCAUCGCCUCUUCCUCGAGACCACAGCUGGGAGGAGGCAAGGUUCUCCUGGCUUUGCCUUGCUUUGUUAGGAUUUUGAACGCAUUCUUCCGAUGCCACCUCCGAUGUGGGAGCGGCUCUGCUCUGUAAUUCCUGAGCUUCUCAACUAGAGGCAGGUGUCAGAUUUGUGUUUCCACUGCCAGAUCCCUGGGCGCCUCUAUGGAGGAAGAAAUCGGUGAGAUUUCCAGGUGUGCCCUGAAUGUGAAAGGUGAACUUUCCAGGAACAAUUAAAAUGAUCCACAGUGUGAGAGAGCUGGAAAGUUACCUGCCUUCCCCUUAAGAAUUGUUUUAAUCUCUUCAGAAUACCUUGUAACUUUGGCAUUAGGAAUAGGAUCACAAUUUGGAUCAAUGUUAAUGAAAUUGCAGCAACAACUCAAAAGUUUAUCCAGAAAAGAAUCAACAUAAUGCUGAUACUGUGGAAGUACAAAGACCUCUUUUCUGGUUUCCUGAUGUAUGCUGGGAGACAUGUCUAACCCUAUCAGUGGUCCCUGUGUUUUAGUGGGACUUGCUGUGGGGAAGGGAUUACUGUCUCUGUCUCUAUCAAGGAUACCUUGAUUCAUGGAAGUGGUGAUCCUAGCCCCAGAGAACAGCCACUGACAGUGAGAAAGGAUGAUUGUAUUUAAAAGAGCUCUCCAGGUCUUGUGAGCUGAGCUAAGAUGCUGUCUGGCAGAUGAAUUGGAAUGCUUGAAAGCUUUCUUGAAGACUUCUGCAAGAGUUGCUGGCCUCCCCUAACAAGAACUUGAUUGGUUGCCAUCUGGUGUAUUGUGAACAGUCUCAGAGAGUAAGAGGCCAUCUGUUAAUACUUUUUCAGGAAGCUUUUUAUAGAGCAGUGAAGUGGCAAAUCUCAAAAACACGUUGUAAUGACUUACAAGAUCUCAGGUAUUAAUGGAAAGGAAGACUUUUGAAAACUGGAACGUAUUAAUUUUUAGGUUGUUUCCUAUGUGAAGGGACAACAUGGAAGGAAGAAAAGAAAGCAAAAAAAGAGCUGAUUUUAAAAAGCAGCAAAUGAAGAAGUUUGUACCAAGGGCUGAUUGGAGGCAAGAACUGACAUCUUGGGAGCAGAUGAGAGGAAAUGGGAUGUGUCAGUAAAUCAUGAACAGCCUUAAAACUCAAGGCGAGCAAUUCAUAAACAAUAGAGAAGGGAGAGCUGAAGGAGGAAGGGGAAAACCAGAAAGAUUUGAACUCCAAAAAAGGUAUUUGCAACAAGAGUUUGAAGGGAAUGGUACUGGGGAGCAAUCGUAUUGGGAAGGCCAGAGAGAAGAAUGUUGAUGUGACAGUAGGAUUGACUGAUUCCUGUGUGAAAAAGCAUUACGCAUUAUGCAGACAGAAUCAGCAAAAGAAGACUGAGUAGGGAUGAACCAACAGAUGGAGAAGCAAGCAGAAUCACUGUGGAGAUUUCCUAAGCAGGGACAAAAUGAAUGUGGUAAUGCUGAGUGUAAGGAGACACAGGAAAAUAGGAAAUGAGAUGAGGAUGAGAACAAUUCCUGAAGAACCAAAAGCUGGCAGAAGCAAAGUAAUUUCUAUGUCUCAUGGGAAAAGUAGAGGAAGAAGAGAGAAGAAGAAGAGAGAAGAAAGAGUAAGACAUUCAAAUGUCUAAAAGUUUGGUGUCCUUUUUUUUUAUUUGGUAGAAAGUUGGCAAAAGCCUGUAUGGAUAAAGAAUAAAUUGUGGAGUUGGAUUUACUUUUAUCAGAAAAGCAGACUUUGUUAGAGACAUGCUAGAGAAACUGAUGGAGCAGGUAAUUCUGGUCUCCACGAGUCUACUGGAACUGCUUUCUGUUCUGAAUUGAGUUGAUGUGGUGUAAAUAGAGGUGAGCUGGGAUGGAAGCUUGGCAAAUGAGGUCUUGUUAAGUGAGAAAGAAUGAGAGAGAUCUUAUAAAUGGAAAGGAUGGCAAUGAGGAGGAGGCUGAAAGCAAACAAAAGUCUUUCCUGUGUACUGGACACAUGAAGCAAUUGAAUUGUGAAAAAGCUGACAGUCAUUAAGUGGGAUAGAGGUGGAGAAAGCGGAUAGUGCUGAUAAAGGCAUUGUAGAACAAGAGCUCUGCAGCAGGAGGGUCAAGCCAGACCUGCAGGUGUGAGACCAAAGAGAUGGGUGACAGUAAGCACAGAUAGCUCAUGGGUACAGAAGUUGUCCUUGAGUUAAGCUUAAGGAAAGCCAAGAGUCAGCAGCAGAGGAAGGUGGAUGAUGAAGCUGGAUUUGAGGUAGCCAACCACAACAGUGAAGAAGAGACAUGGCAGGACUCCUUGUUUACUGAAAUUAAGUAUCUCUUUGCUGCUCAAUUAAUCAAUUGUUUUAAGUUAGAACACAUAUUUUUUGU